UGCAAGUCGAACGAUGAAGCCGCUUCGGUGGUGGAUUAGUGGCGAACGGGUGAGUAACACGUGGGCAAUCUGCCCUUCACUCUGGGACAAGCCCUGGAAACGGGGUCUAAUACCGGAUACGACCACCGACCGCAUGGUCUGGUGGUGGAAAGCUCCGGCGGUGAAGGAUGACCCCGCGGCCUAUCAGCUUGUUGGUGGGGUAAUGGCCUACCAAGGCGACCACGGGUAGCCGGCCUGAGAGGGCGACCGGCCACACUGGGACUGACACACGGCCCACACUCCUACGGGAGGCAGCAGUGGGGAAUAUUGCACAAUGGGCGAAAGCCUGAUGCAGCGACCCCGCGUGAGGGAUGACGGCCUUCGGGUUGUAAACCUCUUUCAGCAGGGAAGA
rnacentral:rRNA from 1 species